AAGCCUGUGUUUGAAAAAGGAAAAACGGUUGAGUCAAAUGGAAAAACCGAUCAAAUACUUCAUUUUUUUCUGGCAUUUUCCCUUGUCUCACUCUAAAUUUUUUUGGAGAUAUACUUGGAGCAACAGAAUUACAAGGUCCAACAAGUUUCUACUAUCGUGAUCUAGGCUGCAACCAAUAAUUUCAAUGAGAAAAGUAAACUUGGAGAAGGAGGUUUUGGAGAUGUAUACAAGAGUUUGCUGAAAAAUGGAAAAACAGUUGCAGUAAAAAGGUUGGUAGUUAUGGAAACAAGCAGGGCCAAAGCUGAUUUUGAAAGUGAGGUGAAGUUGAUUAGCAAUGUUCAUCAUCGGAAUCUUGUCCGGCUUCUUGGUUGUUCUCGGAAAGGUUCUGAGUUCCUACUUGUUUAUGAAUACAUGGCUAAUUAUCUGGUUCUUACUCUUAGUGUCACUUUUGUGCAAUAGUGUAGCACCCUUUCACGCAAUCAUUAGUUAAUCAUUUAAUACCUUUUUAGCUUGGUUUUUGUAGCUCCAUUUUAUUCAGGUUCAAGGAAAUAAAGUUGUGUGUUUCAUGUUCAGUCUAGGACGAUAGGUUCAGUCUACAGAUGCAACUCAGCUGAUUUCAAUGAAAAAAAAAGGAUAAUGAUAAGCGGUGCGAGAAUGUACAUUCAUGAUUAGAUAGGUUUAGGAGAUAAUUUUCUUAUGAUUAGCUCUAAAUGAAAUAUAUGUAUAUGGAUUUGAUCUACCAUUUUAUUAAGUGUAUGGAGAUGCUAUGGUUACUAAUUUGUGCUAACAUGUGAAAGUAGAAUUCAAGAACCGUGGGAAAAAGGAGGAAGAGAAUGAGAAGCGACAGUGUGAUGUUAUAAUCUUUAUAGAACUGAUUCUAUAAUACUGGUUCUAUAAAACUGAUUUUAAUUUAUAGAGCAAGUAUUGCUUGGACAAAUUGGUGCUCGAGUAAAGAAUUGGCCUCUGCACCUAACCAUCUAACUACUGUUGCUAGCAUACAAUCUGUGCCCCCCUCUCUGUGUCCAGGUACAUUCAGGUGGCAAGGUAGAGUUGAAGAGGAGAGGAAGCUUGCACUGGAUAGACAAGUAAAGAGCUUAUAUUGCUCCAAAAUUUAAUUGGACAACACUGAUGUUUUAUUGAAUAGCAAUCCAUGUGAAGGAUAUUAAACAAUCAAAUUUGCAGGAGAAAAAUCAGAGCUGAGUUAUGCUUUCGAAUGGCUCGAAGGAGAAAAAUCUGAGAACGUUUGGUUCAAUUUGUUGCCAACAAGAAUGUAAGAGAACUUGGAUUAAAUCCUGAAUUGACAUCCCUCUUGCACAUAUGGCAUAUAUUAUUUUCCUCAAGAAUGCUUGGUAUUGCUCGGGCUCCUGAUCUUAUCACAGCUCUAUAUGCAUUCUCAGCGGGCGUGAUCAUUUUAAUUGAAGUGAUCCAAAUCAUCAUCCAGCUGCUUGGAGGUCGGCGAUUCCGCAAGGGUGGCGGCAACCCGAGUCGCGGCGAGGAUGUCGGCGUGUCACUCCGGGCACGGCGCGGAUGGCGGCGCCUGGUGCAGCGGCCUUCUCGGAUUAGCGGGACGGCGCUGGCGUGGAUUGCGGCGGCCUUCUCGGCUCUACGAGACCGGCAGCAUCGAUCCGAGAUGGCGGCAACAGACACAGCGAGAAUGGCGAGUGCAGAUCCUUGGAGGUUCAAGUGGAAUUGGUACUUUCGCUAUUCAGAUUGCAAAGCACCUCGGAAUUAAGGAUUUUGUGACUGUAGGUUUGUUCACUGUAAUGGAAAUGAUAUUAACGGUAGUGUGAUUCCAUGAAGUGCACAUUUUUAGUAGAAGUGCACGAAGUUGAACUCUCUUCAGUAAAUAUUCAUUCGGUUCUUUUUUAAAAAAAUAUCAUUGCCACAUGUAAACAUUAACUAUGAUAUACAAUUCUUGUUUUCUGGUUUUUUUAAAA